rnacentral:lncRNA from 1 species
GUGAUUUGAAAGGUUGUUGGUGGGUAUGGAGAAUGUGGGAAAUAAGUUAGACAGUCUGGAUAUGAAAGUGAAAAAUAUUCAUGAAGAUCAAUGUGUUGGAGUGUCUAAUGUGCGGAGAAGGAAUAGAUGGGAGCCUAUGAAUGAAAUUUGUGGUGCAUAUGAAUAUUGUAGCGAUAGUGAUGAAGAUACAUGGAUUGAGGAUGCAAUAUGGGGUAUGAAAAAUAGAGGCGAUAGGUUUGGAAGAAGGGAUACGAAUUAUUAUGGAUAUGGUGGUGAUAGGAGUAUGAAAACGACAAUCCCAAAAUUUAAGGGUAUGAGUGAUCCCAAGGUGUAGUGGCGUGGGAAGAAAAAGUUGAGUUGAUGUUUGAGUGCCAUAAUUACUCCGGGGAGAAAAAGUUGAAGUUAGUUGUGAACUCAUUUGUGGAUUAUGCUACAAUUUGGUGGGAUCAAUUAACAACAUCUAGGCGAAGGUAUGGUAAGAGGCUGAUUGAGAAUUGGGAUGAGUUGAGGGUGAUUAGGAGGUGAGCAAGAAUUUAGGGAGAUGCAUAGAAGAUCUUAUGGGGUUGAGUGUCCAAGGGAAAAGAAAACACCUAGUGCGAAGCAUGUGUGUAGUAAAUCAAGUGAGUUGGUGAGUUGGGAUUUCAAAUUAGAAGUAACAGGGCUUCGUGACAAGGUUAAAUCUCAAAUUAAUCACAUGAAGGCGCAAGAGAGUAAAAGUAAACUUUGUGAGGUGAUUGAUUGUGAGAAAAAUGGAGAAGAGCCACAAAAGAGUGAAAAGGAAGUCGAGAGUGAACUUGAAAAGAAAGGGGAGUCGUUGGAGGUGAAAGGGGAAUCGGAAGUGAGCUUGCAUAAAGAUGAGGUUAAUAUUGAGGAGGAGUUGGCGAACACUAACAUUUCCCUCCUUAUUUUGAAUAAUGCUAUUUUGCAGGUCAUCGAAGAUUUAAUUUCAGAAAAUAAUCCUAUUGAAAUCCCUUACAAUCCGAGCAUCGAAAAUCAAUUGGUGGAUAAACUUCAGCAACAACCGCAUCUUGCUUGGGAGAUAUCAUAUAUAUCGGAGAUUGGAUUUGUGAUUCCCGAGGAGACAACGGAGUUUCAAAUGCGAUGGAAGAAAUUUGUUUGCAAGGAGUUCAUAUGCAGUGGAUUGAACUACAAAAUUGGUAUGUCGGGAAAUAUGUAUCAAUUUGAAUUGUCAUUACUACAAUCACCUGGGUCGAGUAAAGCAUGAAAAAUGAACGGUGAUUUAUCAGCUGAAAUCAUUCUAAGAACAUCACAAAAUGGCAAGAGGAAGUCGUCAAAACAUAUACAUUUUGAUCCAUGUAAAGGAGAUUGGAUUUACAUAUGAAAAAGAAGGGUUUGAAUUCAAAAGCAGUCCAAAUUGCAUCCGAGGGGAGAUGGACCAUUUCAUGUUCUUGCUUGAUUGGAGAUAAAGGCUAUAAUUUGAACAUUCAAGGUUUGGAUUCAAGGUUGAAUCCUUUCGAAGAGGGAGGGACUGAUAUGAUCC